GUGCCAGCCGCCGCGGUAAGACGGAGGAUGCAAGCGUUAUCCGGUAUGAUUGGGAGUAAAGCGUCCGCAGGUGGCAAUUCAAGUCUGCUGUUAAAGCGCAGGGCUUAACUCUGUAAAGGCAUUGGAAACUGAAUAGCUAGAGUGUGGUAGGGGCAGAGGGAAUUCCCAGUGUAGCGGUGAAAUGCGUAGAGAUUGGGAAGAACAUCGGUGGCGAAGGCGCUCUGCUGGACCAUAACUGACACUCACAGGACGAAAGCUAGGGGAGCGAAUGGGAUUAGAUACCCCAGUAGUCCUAGCCGUAAACGAUGGAUACUAGGUGUUCUCUGUAUCGACCCGGACAGUGCCGUAGCUAACGCGUUAAGUAUCCCGCCUGGGGAGUACGCACGCAAGUGUGAAACUCAAAGGAAUUGACGGGG
rnacentral:rRNA from 1 species